rnacentral:rRNA from 1 species
GACGAACGCUGGCGGCGUGCCUAAUACAUGCAAGUAGAACGCUGAAGAGAGGAGCUUGCUCUUCUUGGAUGAGUUGCGAACGGGUGAGUAACGCGUAGGUAACCUGCUUUGUAGCGGGGGAUAACUAUUGGAAACGAUAGCUAAUACCGCAUAACAAUGGAUGACUCAUGUCAUUUAUUUGAAAGGGGCAAAUGCUCCACUACAAGAUGGACCUGCGUUGUAUUAGCUAGUAGGUGAGGUAACGGCUCACCUAGGCGACGAUACAUAGCCGACCUGAGAGGGUGAUCGGCCACACUGGGACUGAGACACGGCCCAGACUCCUACGGGAGGCAGCAGUAGGGAAUCUUCGGCAAUGGGGACAACCCUGACCGAGCAACGCCGCGUGAGUGAAGAAGGUUUUCGGAUCGUAAAGCUCUGUUGUAAGUCAAGAACGAGUGUGAGAGUGGAAAGUUCACACUGUGACGGUAGCUUACCAGAAAGGGACGGCUAACUACGUGCCAGCAGCCGCGGUAAUACGUAGGUCCCGAGCGUUGUCCGGAUUUAUUGGGCGUAAAGCGAGCGCAGGCGGUUUGAUAAGUCUGAAGUUAAAGGCUGUGGCUCAACCAUAGUUCGCUUUGGAAACUGUCAAACUUGAGUGCAGAAGGGGAGAGUGGAAUUCCAUGUGUAGCGGUGAAAUGCGUAGAUAUAUGGAGGAACACCGGUGGCGAAAGCGGCUCUCUGGUCUGUAACUGACGCUGAGGCUCGAAAGCGUGGGGAGCGAACAGG